GCUCACUCUGAUGAGCAUACACUAAAACUUGAGCAAUACAGAGAAAACUGGUAUGGCUUCUGGGCAAGAAUGACACGCAGCUUUGUGAAACAUUCAAGUUUCCA
rnacentral:snRNA from 1 species